AUGGCAGCUCUGGACUUACUCCCCCCUUAGUAAUGGCUAUCCCAGCUAUAGCUGUUUACUGUAUUUUUCUAAUUACAUUCCCAUUUUAAGAAGCGUUCAUUACUCUUUAAUUACAGUGGAUUUGACUGUAAAUUUCAGUCGUGGUUCAGAAGUGUUUACAGCUUUAAAGAGGAUGGAUAAGCAGUUCCUUCCUCACAAGGAGACAGGCUUGGACAUAUUGAAGAUUACAGCUUUGUAACUUACAGCUUCAAUUUAUAAAAUUGGAUAAAGAGGAAGCAAAGAAGGGCUAUUACUCUUUCCUAUAUUAAUAGCUUUGCAAACUGGUGAUCCUUUCUUCUUGAGCACUUACUAACUGCUUCAGCCUGCGGCAGAUUUCAUUCUCAUGCACGGCAAAUUAUAUGGAGUAUAAACACUAUCUCUGACAAUUUCUUUUCAGUAUGUACCUCCCUGUCCCUUCUUGUUGUUGUUGCUUUUGAACAGGAACAAACCAUAUGAGUCUCUAAGGAGAACAACUCAGAAGGCCAACAAGUGAGUUCUCUUCAUCUCCAGAAAGAAAGUUGGGCAACGCCUAUGAAGAGUACUCUGCAGUCACUUACUCCUCUGAAGGAUAUUCUACAGCAAUCUACAGAUUUUACUCAACUAGACAGCAAUACUACCAGAGAGCUCUGUCAGAUCUCCGAGACAACAAGCUUUCACCUCAGAUGCAUGUAACUCAUGUCCUGCAUUUGGUAACAGUAUGAUUUCUUAGAACCCUACAUCAAGUAACUGUUAAAAGAACGUACACACACAUGCUCUGAGCACACAGAAGAAAAACUAGCCCAAAUAGUUCCUAACACUUAUCUGAACUAAGAAGUAUUUUUAUGUUAAUAAAGAGAUAUUAAAAAAAA